UUUCGCUCGAGCGCUUACGGAAGAAGGUUUGGUCCGAAAUAGUCGCAUACCGAUAUCGAGCCUAGUGUGAAAUCUAUCGGUUUUCCCGGGGAUAAAGGAGUCAAAGGAGGUUGGCGAGUGCAGCUCCCCGGGGUUUGUGCUACCCGGUAUCGAGGCGAGCAUUGUUGCGGGGCAACAAUGUCGUUCAAUCUUGGAAGUUAUGCUAGAAGAGACCGAAGGCAGAAAGAAUCCAACCCGUACAUGACGCAACCAUUCGAUCCGACAAACCUAAAAUCCCACCGCUGUCACCAAUUUUGCCAUGAACAAGAUUGACUGUUUUCCAGUUGAUUUCCGGCUGGAAUCUAACUUUAAAAUCAGUUUAUCAUCGCUGCAACUUUGGAAAACGAUAUCGGAUGAAAUCGAGAUUUCCGGUGAAUGAAGCUUACCUUACUUCAUUCACAAGUGAAUUAGCAACGAAAUCGACAAGCAUCGACCUUCUUCACGGCCCCCAGAGAAGGAGCCCGGUCGCCUCUGUCAAGUGGAGGAGAAUUUCGAUUGGCAAACUAACCCUUGUCUGCAAGGACGAUACUACUUCUAAAAAGUCGCCAAAAAUUGAGCACCGCUUGAAAGCGAAGGAUGUGAAGUGGGGGUAAAGGUGGUAGAAGCAAAGGUAAGUCCUCGGAGCAGCGGGCAACAUUCAAGUGCGAAGGUACAAAGCUUGAACCACACAGUUGAACUUUUUCUGAUCCCAAAAAGGACGAGGAUGCUUUAGGGAGACUUGAACCCUCGGGUGAAUCACGAGUACGUGCGCAUCGUGCAAACCUAUAAUAAAUUUCGCUAGUGAUGUUAUAGUUUAAUCCGCGAAACCCCCGCGGUCAAGUGGACAAUAAAUUUAUUUCGAAGGGUCGGACCUAACGCGCGAGGCACUGUCAAACUACGUGAUAACCCCGACCCAUGGAACAAUGGCUACGUAACCUUAUGAAUUAUUCAAAUCGCAAUGGAUUAUUAUGUGGAACUAUGUCCUUGGUAUUCGUUUUGCCAUUUACCAUUUCUCGGGCUCUGUUACAAUCGAUCGAGCUGUAAGCCCAACCGCCCUACCUAGGAGUCCAGGAAUCUAGGUAGCCCUGCAGGAGUUGGGAAUAUUUCGGUUCAGCGUUUCAUCUCAAAUCGUGUUUUUAAAAUUUAUAAACAAUUCUCGGGAUUGAAACUUUUCGAAGUGAAACGGGAGAAAUUUUUUAAACAAAAGCAAAAACAUUGGUAGCGUAGCUAAACAAAGUCGAAGAGAUUCGGAAAUGAUAAACAUUCAAUUUUCAUUUACUGGCAAGUACCAAUUAAUAUAGGAAUUUCACAAAAUGAUUGUUAAAUAUUUAUGCAAGUUACCCUUCCAUGGAAUUGGAAUUUCAAAACUAGGGGAACACGCAAUAAUUUUUUGAAGCAAAGAUCUGUUAUUUUUAUUCUUGGUGUGAAUAGAUAGAUGUGCAGUAAUAUAGAUAGAUAUAAGUAGGUAUAGGCAGACAAAGCUGAGAACUGUCUUGACCAACGGAAAAAAAAAAUUACUGGAGAAGAUACCAAGUUUCGGACAGUACUAUGAAUUUUUUAAAUUUUGUCU